CAGAAAACGGCUCCGGCCAUUUCUAACCCUUGAUUAUUUUCCUGUUGCUUCGGCGCUGCGGCGCCGAUGCCACCAAACUCAGAAACUUAUGUGUCUGACAAACAUUUAAUAAAUCA
rnacentral:misc_RNA from 1 species